AGCCUUAUUUUCCAAGGCAGCCAGAGAAUCAUGGGUCUGAACUUAUCCCGUCUUCUCAGAUGGAGGACUAAGACCCAGAAAGAGGGAGGAAUUUGUCCAAGCUCUCCCAGUGAGCUGAUGCCAGAGCCAGGACUAGAACUCAGGUCUCCCAAUUCUCAGCACAGUGUGAUUUUCCUUGCAGAAUGUUGAUGCUCAAAGAACAGGAACCCCAGAACCCCAGGGAGGUAAGGAAGAAGAGCACAGCCAGGAUCAGAAGAGUGAAGAAACAAUGAUGUCCCACAGGUCACAGGGAGUAAGUAGCUGCUCUAGGGGUGAACCCAAGAGUGGUGAUUCACUGUCCAAACUACUGGCUGGAGGAGAGCUCGUGGUGGUCAUCUCUUCCCAACUAUGGCAGUGGCUAUGGCCUAACAGCUGGAGGCAGGAACAGGGCAGUGACAAGAAUCAGCAACUGCAUAGGGGCCUCAUCAAUUUCCAGUCCUCCAUCCAGAAGAGGACAGGACAUGCUCAAGCUGCCCCAAAGAGAAAGGACAAAGGAGAGGAAUUCUGAGAUGCAAGUCCCUAUGGAAGAGGGGACAGAGUUAAAUUCCAGCAGUCCAACAGACUAUGGCUAGAGCCAUAGUCUUCUCUUACCUGUAUCUUUAACGUUCAGCUUACUAUUGGUUCCUUAUUAUCUCCUGUUAGUGAGGUUCCUUUCAAAAACAAUAAAACAAAACAAUAUUUUCCCGCU
rnacentral:lncRNA from 1 species